UACGUAGGGUGCAAGCGUUAAUCGGAAUUACUGGGCGUAAAGCGUGCGCAGGCGGUUCGCUAAGACAGAUGUGAAAUCCCCGGGCUUAACCUGGGAACUGCAUUUGUGACUGGCGGGCUAGAGUAUGGCAGAGGGGGGUAGAAUUCCACGGUGUAGCAGUGAAAUGCGUAGAGAUGUGGAGGAAUACCGAUGGCGAAGGCAGCCCCCUGGGCCAAUACUGACGCUCAUGCACGAAAGCGUGGGGAGCAAACAGG
rnacentral:rRNA from 1 species